rnacentral:tRNA from 1 species
GGCUUUAUAGUCUAAAAUAAGAUACUAGGCUGCAAUCCUAGGGAUGUAGAAAUACUAAGGCUU